rnacentral:rRNA from 1 species
UUCGCAAUGCCCGAAAGGGUGACGAUGCGACGCCGCGUGAGCGAAGAAGGCCCUAGGGUUGUAAAGCUCUGUCGAGGGUUAUGAAAUAUAGAUGGGUUAAUACCCCAUUUAUUUGACAAAAGCCCAAAAGGAAGCCACGGCUAACUCUGUGCCAGCAGCCGCGGUAAUACAGAGGUGGCGAGCGUUGUUCGGUAUUAUUGGGCGUAAAGAGCACGUAGGUGGUUUUGUAAGUCAGGUGUGAAAGCCUUCUGUUCAAAGGAAGAACGGCAUCUGAAACUGCAGAUCUUGAGUGUAGGAGGGGAGAGUGGAACUUCUGGUGGAGCGGUGAAAUGCGUAGAUAUCAGAAGGAACGUCGGCGGCGAAAGCGACUCUCUGGCCUAUUACUGACACUGAGUGUGCGAAAGUUAGGGGAACAAACGGGAUUAGAUACCCCGGUAGUCCUAACCGUAAACGAUGGGCACUAAGUAGAGGGGUUUU